UACGGAGGGUGCAAACGUUGCUCGGAAUCAUUGGGCGUAAAGCGCACGUAGGCGGACCGCUAAGUCGGCUGUGAAAGCCCUCGGCUUAACCGAGGAAGUGCAUUCGAAACUGACAGUCUUGAGUAUGGAAGAGGGUCGCGGAAUUCCCGGUGUAGAGGUGAAAUUCGUAGAUAUCGGGAGGAACACCAGUGGCGAAGGCGGCGACCUGGGCCAAUACUGACGCUGAGGUGCGAAAGCGUGGGGAGCAAACAGG
rnacentral:rRNA from 1 species